rnacentral:misc_RNA from 1 species
GAUGAAGAACGCAGCGAACUGCGAUAAGUAAUGUGAAUUGCAGAAUUCAGUGAAUCAUCGAGUCUUUGAACGCACAUUGCGCCCCCUGGCAUUCCGGGGGGCAUGCCUGUCCGAGCGUCAUUGCUGCCCUUCAAGCCCGGCUUGUGUGUUGGGUCGUCGUCCCCCCCGGGGGACGGGCCCGAAAGGCAGCGGCGGCACCGCGUCCGGUCCUCGAGCGUAUGGGGCUUUGUCACCCGCUCGAUUAGGGCCGGCCGGGCGCCAGCCGGCGUCUCCAACCUUCUAUUUUACCAGGUUGACCUCGGAUCAGGUAGGGAUACCCGCUGAACCUAAGCAUAUCAAUAAGCGGAGGA